GAAAUGCGAUAUGUAAUGUGAAUUGCAGAAUUCAGUGAAUCAUCAAAUCUUUGAACGCACAUUGCGCUCCUUGGUAUUCCGGGGAGCACACCUGUUUGAGUAUCAAUAAUCUCUCACAUCUUAUUUUUGGGCUUAAAACCCCAUUGGUUGGAAUGUGGAUUUGGAUGGACAGUUCUUUAAGGAACUGUCAUCUUAAUUUCAACGUCAAAAGCUCCUUUGAAAAAGGGACAGCUUGUUUGAGAUGAUAGAAUAAGUCUAGAACUUUUUUACUUUCAAGCGCUGUGGCUGUUCCAUAUUUUUUCAUUUUGAGUCUCUUUGAUUCCUUUUAUUAUUACUUACGAUUGUUUACAAUUGUUAACAGUCGUUUGAAAACUUGGUCUCAAAUCAGGUGGGAAAACCC
rnacentral:misc_RNA from 1 species